UCGGCGGGACGCGCGGCGGGAGAGGGGCGGCCGCGGCGGGCAGGACCGCGCUGUGGCGGUGGGGGGCGGUCCUGGCGGCGGCUGCUGCUGCUGCUGCUGCCGCCGCCGCCGCCGCCCCCGGCGGGCAGGUGCCCCUUCCUGCGUCAUGUCGCUGCGAGGUUCCUGCUGCAAGACGGGCUCUGGCCGCUGGCAGCCCCUGUUGCUUCUCUGGGGCGUGAGGACGUGGCUGCAGCCAAGGCAUGACCCCUGUGCAUGGAGAGGAAAAGGAGGAAGGCCUGAGCGGAGCUGCAGGUGUGCCCUGUGCCCACACAGAAGAGACAGAAGUUGAAGGUGAAAAAGAUUUUCCCUCUUGACAAAUCAAGGAUGGAAGAAUGCGAGUUGAAGUGAUCUAAAGCCACGUGGCAAGUUGGCGACAUCACUGGGAGCAGAUGCUGGGAGUUGUAUGCCUGCAGCCCUGGCUCCCUUCCUCUUCUGAAGAGAAAGGCAUGUGAACGUGGCAGACCCAGGAGGUUUUCUCCAAGACCUGAGAUAGAAGACACUGGAGGCAGAUGUCCAAGACAACGUUUUCACAGAAUAAAGUUACACUUGACAAUAGGAAUGAGUUCUUCUGGAACUUGCUUCAAGUGUUGAAGAUCAUGCCACGAGUUUUAGAAUUUCUAGCAAACCUGGCUACAGCGAAAGAGAUGGUUAGCAGUGUCUGCAUUUGAAGAUUCCUAAAGCUUCAUCUUUUCUCAUACCUGAGUUCAGAUAAACUCCAACACUACAGUCAGUGAAAGUGCAUGUGAUGCUGCUUGUGAUUCAGAGUAUUUGCUGCAACCUGUGUAGUCAAAUGUCAGUUUAAAAAAAUUAUAGCCGUUCUGCUCCAAGUGUCCUUUCUACUUUUGCUGUGCUCCUGCUGAAUACACCUUAAAAGUUGUAAUCUUCCCUUCUCCCAGGAAUCUCAGCUCAUAUGCUGUUUUCACAGCCAGAUUCUAGAGUACUUUUGUGUCAUUUGGUGUUUUCUCCACAUGGCUAAGGAGGGGUUUUAAAAAACAGAAAUGAAAUAAAGAUGCCAACUACAAGUUUGAAAUGAUUGUGCUUGUAUUUUUAUAGCACCCUGAGUAAUACUCAUUUUUAACCUUUCUAGGAUUUAGGACUUUUCUUUGUGUGUAUGAGAACUGUUUGUGUUUUUGCCUUAAACACUGGAAGGCAGAAGUUCUGCUUCUUACCUUGUCCCUUUUUAAUGCUCCUGAAAUGUGUUAAACUAUUAAAGCAACAGCUACUCUGAAAAUGAGCUUGGCAGUCCUGGUGUUCUGACUCUUCCUCUUUUUUCCCCCUCUAAUGUGGGAAGUCUGGAGAAGGCAUGAGUAUAAAAUAGCUUUACCUUUAGUCAUUUUUCUCCUGUAUUGUAGGGUAGCUUGUAAAUCAUAAAUAUGUGUUCAGAAACACUUGUGCUUUUUAUUAGUGAGGGACAAAACUCAGUUUUGUUUUCCAAACGCGAAGCCAAGAUGUGUGAGUCACUAGUCUGAUUCCUGAGAGUGUCAGUCCAAUGCUGCUAUUAGGGUGUUCAGAUUAAUGACAUGGAGGGAAAUGUGACAAGCUUUUGUCAAAAGUGUCUUUAUUUGAAUAAAGCUGUCUUAACUAGG